rnacentral:rRNA from 1 species
AAUGAACGCUGGCGGCGCGCCUAAUACAUGCAAGUCGAGCGAGAAGACGUAGCAAUACGUUUGUAAAGCGGCGAACGGGUGAGGAAUACAUGGGUAACCUACCCUAGAGUGGGGAAUAACUAGCCGAAAGGUUAGCUAAUACCGCGUACGCUCCUUGGACUUCGGUUCAGGGAGGAAAGCGAUGCCGAGGGUAUCGCGCUCUUGGAUGGGCUCAUGUCCUAUCAGCUUGNGGUGAGGUAACGGCUCACCAAGGCUUCGACGGGUAGCUGGUCUGAGAGGACGAUCAGCCACACUGGCACUGCGACACGGGCCAGACUCCUACGGGAGGCAGCAGUAAGGAAUAUUGCGCAAU